rnacentral:rRNA from 1 species
AUUGAACGCUGGCGGCAGGCCUAACACAUGCAAGUCGAACGAGUGGCGGACGGGUGAGUAAUGUCUGGGAAGCUGCCUGAUGGAGGGGGAUAACUACUGGCAACGGUAGCUAAUACCGCAUACCAUCGGAUGUGCCCAGAUGGGAUUAGCUUGUUGGUGGGGGAACGGCUCACCAAGGCGACGAUCCCUGGCUGGUAUGAGAGGCUGACCAGCGGCCCUGGAACGGGGACACGGUCCAGAGUCCUACGGGAGGCAGCAGUGGGGAACAUUGGGCAAUGGGGGCGAGCCUGGUGCAGCCAUGCCGCGUGUAUGACGGAGGCCUUCGGGUUGUAAAGUACUUUCAGCGGGGAGGCGUUACCCGGAGAAGAAGCACCGGCUAACUCCGUGCCAGCAGCCGCGGUAAUUC